CAAAAGAGCUUUGCCCAGGCGCGUCGCCCGCUCUUUUCAUCCAAUCCUCUCCUGACAGGCAGUCUGGAAAGAAAGCGUACUCAUAUUGAUUCCGAAGGCACAAUUGGAACUCCGGCAUUUUCUUCUGGGCUCAGGGGUCGAGACGAAGGGGUUGGCAGUGCUGGCUGGGAAGCAAAGGAACAGCAGACACACAGGAGCUGAAGUGACAGUAAAUGAAGCUGUGGUCUUCAGGCUUAGGUGGAGUCGGGCGGGCGUUCUGCGCAUCUGUACCUCCGACAAAUGGAUUUGGUCCUCAGUUCCAGCCAUCAUCUGAUUUCAAGUUUGGUUACCUAGGAAACAGAGGGCACACUGCUGGGACAGUCAGCCCGUGUUCUGUGCCGACCAAAGCUAUUAAAACCCAUCAAGUCAGCCUCGGAGAAGCUGAGCACGGACAGUUUCAACUUCCAGCCAGGACUCCUCAGGCUCCACUUGAUGUUUGGCUGUGGACCUCUGCAUCUGUUUCCAUCCACUGCUGGAUGAAGCCUCUCAGGAGACAGUUAUGCUAAGAUCUUGUCUGCAAGCAUCCCCACCCUGUCCUUUGCAAACGAAGAGAAGAUGAGCAGAAACUUAAAGCUGUCAGACUUGGUUACCUGCUACCAGCUCCGCUGCAGACCAGGUCCAUGGUCUAUCUAGUCUCAGAUGUUUGGCCACCCAAGCAGUGUCAGGUAUGGAUUCCAUCUCUUGCAGUGUGUCUUCAAUCAAAUAGUAGUUGCUUACUUCCAUAACUGUUGUGCUGUAUUGCAUCUGUGUACCUUACAGGUCAGUUACCAUUGUAGAUCAAAGGCUUUGUAGCUAGGUUGGUGUUUACUUUUCUCCUUUGGUAGCACACAGAGUGCUUUCAAGUACCAUGAACACUGGGAGUAAAGACUCUAGAUAGGCACCAGCUCAACUUUGUCAUGUUCAAUGAGUUGUGUGGGUGUUGUUUUCAACAAUAGGCCUUUCUGUCAGUUUUUAGAGUGCAACCUUGGCCAUAGCAUGAGUUGUACUCCUUACCACUUUCUUCUAUACUCAUAGAUCUGUGCCUUGCUCAGCCAUUAUCAGAAAAGCCUCUUUCCUGCAGCAGAUGAGAACAAACACAGAAAUCAACAGCCAGUCAGUGUGCAUAAAGCGAGAGACCUUGGAACACUCUGCCCUAAAAGGGAUAUCAUCAUCAAACUCUUCCCCUUGGGGCUCAAGGAAUUCUUUUGUAAAGGAAGCAGAAAGAGUGAAUGAGUCAGAGAGGAUGGAGGACAGAAAGAAACAAGGCUUUCUAAACACAGCAGGAUUGAUGUUCAUACGAACUCACAGAGACCUAGGCAGCAGGCACGGGGGCUGCCCAGAUCUACACCGGAGGGAUCCUAGAGCUGAGAGAAGUAGUUACACACCACAACCCUUAAUCCAAAAGGUAGUUCCAACUGAGAACUGCUUGCAAAGGAAAAUUUAGUUUUCUCCAAUAGAGUUUGACUGGGUAUACAAACUGGGUAUACACACCUACGGGUAGGACUCCCUCUCAGAAGUAGGUGGCCAGCCCAAAAUGAAUUCAAUGACAUCCCUGGAAGGUCUUUGUUUCAUAAUGCUGUGUUGGAGCUAGUUAUCUAUCUAUCUAUCUAUCUAUCUAUCUAUCUAUCUAUCUAUCUAUCUAUUUCAGAGCCUUUAUGUAAAUAUUAUGGCUUCAGAUAUGGUGUUUUUGUGGGAUUCCUUUCUGUGUGUAUGUGUCUUCUGAUUGUUUGUUUUGUCCUAUUCUGACUUGUUUUUAAUCUGAUUUUAUUUUAUUAUUACUCCUUAGAGGCCUGCUGAUUUUCUAAGGAGAGAGAAAAAUUGUGGAUCCAGAUUGGAGUGGGAGAGGGGGGAAACUUGGAGGAGCUGGGGGAGGGGAAACCAUAAUCAG
rnacentral:lncRNA from 1 species